rnacentral:rRNA from 1 species
GACGUAGGGCGCGAGCGUUGUCCGGAUUUAUUGGGCGUAAAGAGCUCGUAGGCGGCUUGUUGCGUCAGCUGUGAAAACCCGCAGCUCAACUGUGGGCUUGCAGCUGAUACGGGCAGGCUUGAGUUCGGUAGGGGAGACUGGAAUUCCUGGUGUAGCGGUGAAAUGCGCAGAUAUCAGGAGGAACACCGGUGGCGAAGGCGGAUCUCUGGGCCUGUCCUGACGCUGAGGCGCGAAAGCUAGGGGAGCGAACAGG